rnacentral:rRNA from 1 species
CACACCCUACAAUGGCGAAUAACAAUGGGACGCGAGGUAGUAAUGCCAAGCAAAUCUCCAGUAAAUUUCGCCUCAGUUCAGAUUGAGGGCUGCAACCCGCCCUCAUGAAGUCGGAAUCGGUAGUAAUCGCAGAUCAGCAGGCUGCGGUGAAUACGUUCUCGGGUCUUGUACACACCGCCCGUCAAGCCAACAAAGUUGGAGGCGGCCGAAGAGCCCCGCAAGGGGAGCUAAGCCGAAUCCAGCGAUGGGGACUAAGUCGUAACAAGGUAUCCCUAGCCGAAGCUGGGGAUGGAUCACCUCCUUU